rnacentral:rRNA from 1 species
UACGAAGGGUGCAAGCGUUGUUCGGAAUUAUUGGGCGUAAAGGGUGCGUAGGCGGCCUGACAAGUCUGAUGUGAAAUCCCGGGGCUCAACCCCGGAACUGCAUUGGAUACUGCUCUGCUCGAGUACUGGAGAGGAGACUGGAAUUUACGGUGUAGCGGUGAAAUGCGUAGAUAUCGUAAGGAAGACCAGUGGCGAAGGCGGGUCUCUGGACAGUUCCUGACGCUGAGGCACGAAGGCCAGGGGAGCAAACGGG